CCCUUCGAUGUUCUGGGCCGCACGCGUGUUACACUGAUAAAUUCAACGAGUCUAGAACCUGUUCUGAGAAGAAUGGGGAAUCUUGUGAAAUUUUAUCGUGAUAGGGAUAGAUGAUUGCAAUUAUUCAUCUUAAACGAGGAAUGCCUAGUAAGGGCAGUUCAUCAAACUGUCCUGAUUACGUCCCUGCCCUUUGUACACACCGCCCGUCGCUCCUACCGAUUGAAUGUUCCGGUGAGCUCUUCGGACUGCGCGGUCUGCAGUUUCUGCGUUCCGUGCGGAAAGUUGCGCAAACCUUAACAUUUAGAGGAAGGAGAAGUCGUAACA
rnacentral:rRNA from 1 species